rnacentral:lncRNA from 1 species
UCCGCGACACUGUUUGAAAAGAAGACAUCCGGUAGCUCACUGGAUAUCGCAUUCCGGAGACGUCGGUUUAAACGCUGUAUUGGGGUGCUCGACAUCCCAGAGUUACACAUUCGCGACUACAGCAGCUUCAUCUUCCAUAAUCUCAUCGCGUUCGAGAUGCAACCUUCAGGCCGAAGCCGCUGCACCAUGGCCUUUUCCGCAUUUAUGCGGAACUUGCUGCAAACCGAG